rnacentral:rRNA from 1 species
GCUGAAGGUACUAUACGAAUAAGCACCGGCUAACUCCGUGCCAGCAGCCGCGGUAAUACGGAGGGUGCAAGCGUUAUCCGGAUUUAUUGGGUUUAAAGGGUCCGUAGGCGGAUCUGUAAGUCAGUGGUGAAAUCUCAUAGCUUAACUAUGAAACUGCCAUUGAUACUGCAGGUCUUGAGUAAAGUAGAAGUGGCUGGAAUAAGUAGUGUAGCGGUGAAAUGCAUAGAUAUUACUUAGAACACCAAUUGCGAAGGCAGGUCACUAUGUUUUAACUGACGCUGAUGGACGAAAGCGUGGGGAGCGAACAGGAUUAGAUACCCUGGUAGUCCACGCCGUAAACGAUGCUAACUCGUUUUUGGGCUUUCGGGUUCAGAGACUAAGCGAAAGUGAUAAGUUAGCCACCUGGGGAGUACGUUCGCAAGAAUGAAACUCAAAGGAAUUGACGGGGGCCCGCACAAGCGGUGGAUUAUGUGGUUUAAUUCGAUGAUACGCGAGGAACCUUACCAAGGCUUAAAUGGGAAUUGACAGGUUUAGAAAUAGACUUUUCUUCGGACAAUUUUCAAGGUGCUGCAUGGUUGUCGUCAGCUCGUGCCGUGAGGUGUUAGGUUAAGUCCUGCAACGAGCGCAACCCCUGUCACUAGUUGCCAUCAUUCAGUUGGGGACUCUAGUGAGACUGCCUACGCAAGUAGAGAGGAAGGUGGGGAUGACGUCAAAUCAUCACGGCCCUUACGCCUUGGGCCACACACGUAAUACAAUGGCCGGUACAGAGGGCAGCUACCUAGCGAUAGGAUGCGAAUCUCGAAAGCCGGUCUCAGUUCGGAUUGGAGUCUGCAACUCGACUCUAUGAAGCUGGAAUCGCUAGUAAUCGCGCAUCAGCCAUGGCGCGGUGAAUACGUUCCCGGGCCUUGUACACACCGCCCGUCAAGCCAUGGAAGUUU